rnacentral:rRNA from 1 species
UACGUAGGGGGCUAGCGUUGUCCGGAAUCAUUGGGCGUAAAGAGCGUGUAGGCGGCUCGAUAAGUCCGCUGUGAAAGUCCAGGGCUCAACCCUGGGAUGCCGGUGGAUACUGUCGGGCUCGAGUCCGGAAGAGGCGAGUGGAAUUCCUGGUGUAGCGGUGAAAUGCGCAGAUAUCAGGAGGAACACCAAUGGCGAAGGCAGCUCGCUGGGACGUGACUGACGCUGAGACGCGAAAGCGUGGGGAGCGAUCCGG